AUUUUUUCACUUGUGUAUGUACAUGUUCUUACAUCUUUAAAUUUAACUCAAACGUUGUCUCUUGUCCGUGCAUAUACAUAGAAAUACUCAAACAUCAUUCAUCGUUCUUAAUCUAUUUGUAUGCAAGAAAACUAUAGAGACAGAUUUUUGUUGGGUCUUUUAGAGAGGAACAGAAUGGGUAGAGGAAGAGUACAAUUGAAGAGAAUCGAGAACAAUAUUAAUNGUAAUGGACUUGAUCUUGGGUUUCCAAGAUAAUAAAUAUACUCGAGUAACGAGAUGUUAUUCUAUAUGAUCAUGAGGAGCAUCGCUAGGUUGCUUGAAGGUUAC
rnacentral:lncRNA from 1 species